ACCGAACGUUGGCGGCAGCCUAAACACAUGCCAGUCGAGCGCCCCGCAAGGGGAGCGGCAGACGGGUAAUUAACGCGUGGGAAUCUUCCUAUUUCUACUGAAUAACGCAUGGAAGCGUGUGUCAAUUCCGUUUCCGUGCUUCGGGUGAAUGAAUUAUCGGAGAUGGAUGAGCCCGCGUUGGAGUAGCUAGUUGGUUGGGUAAAGGCCUACCAAGGCGACGAUCCAUAGCUGGUCUGAGAGGUUGAUCAGCCACACUGGGACUGAGACACGGCCCAGACUCCUACGGGAUGCAGCAGUGGGGAAUAUUGGACAAUGGUCGCAAGCCUGAUCCAGCCAUGCCGCGUGAGUGAUGAAGGCCCUAGGGUUGUAAAGCUCUUUCACCGGUGAAGAUAAUGACGGUAACCGGAGAAGAAGCCCCGGCUAACUUCGUGCCAGCAGCCGCAGUAACAC
rnacentral:rRNA from 1 species